rnacentral:rRNA from 1 species
AAAGUGCUUGAGGUCAAGUAGGCUCUGUAAACAAGCUUACGCCUGAGGAUGAGCCUGCGGCCCAUCAGCUAGUUGGUAGGGUAAUGGCUUACCAAGGCAAAGACGGGUAGCUGGUCUGAGAGGAUGAUCAGCCACACUGGAACUGAGACACGGUCCAGACUCCUACGGGAGGCAGCAGUGGGGAAUCUUGCGCAAUGGGGGAAACCCUGACGCAGCGACGCCGCGUGAGUGAUGAAGGCCUUCGGGUUGUAAAGCUCUGUGGGGAGAGACGAAUAAGUGUAGUCGAAUAGACUGCAUGAUGACGGUAUCUCCUUAGCAAGCACCGGCUAACUCUGUGCCAGCAGCCGCGGUAAGACAGAGGGUGCAAACGUUGUUCGGAAUGACUGGGCGUAAAGCGUAUGUAGGCGGCUUUGCAGGUCGGAUGUGAAAUCCCUUGGCUCAACCAAGGAAGUGCAUUCGAAACCGCAGAGCUUGAGUG